CCAUUCAGGCUUCAUAAAUGCAGUCAAAAGAAGAUGUCCCUGGGUUUUUCCACUUAAUUUGACUUCACCAUGUCCUCCUUAGUUCCCGGUACAGACAGGAGUUGCCCCCAAGUCAGACAAUGUGAUUGAUCUCCUUCGCUGCACCAUCAGCAUUGGAGUACCAAGUCCAACGUCUUGACUUAGGAUGUUGGAACCCGGAUGCAGUAACCUGCAGCCCCUGACCUUUCGCAAAGUCAAGGAACAUGGAACCUCUGUCACCCUGAUCUCCAGACCCAUGGGGACCGACACAAUCCUCAAAGCCAGCCCUGUCAGUGCCGGUGGUCGCACUGAAGUCACCCACGACCAGAGGAGUGUCACCUCAUGGUCAGUCAUCAACCACCGAGCUGCGAGUAAAACGUCUCCCUCAACAAGACGACGUUUCUCUCGUUUGUUAUAAGAGCUGUGAACGUGAUGCUGGUGUUCUGGGGGUGUCUGGUGGGGCCUUUUCUGCACCGCAUGGAGUGACUAAGGUAGCCACUCUCAUUGGCUUACAUACUGGCUUAGGUUUGCAUCUAGAACUGGACUGCCAGUACUCUGGGUUUUGUAGCUGAACUGUCCUGUCCUGGCUUACGAUCUGUGAUUUUAGCCGUGUUUUGAUAUUUUGUUAACUGGCUAUUUGUAUUCUUUUUAAAGACUUUAUUUGGGUUAAUAAAUAUUACUCAGUUACUGGCAUAUGAGUCUCUGUGUCGUUUAUGCGACGUCGCUGUGUCUGAGGGAAUCCUGAGGGUAGCAGUAAUCAUACAUCUUAAGGGGCAGCAGGACCUUAGUCUGGACUCCUACCUACACUUAGUGACCAACCACCCCAAGGUUACAAGCUCACAAAGCUUUAACCAGUGGAAUAUUGUUUUAUAGAAAUUCUAAAGAUUCAGGAGUGUAUUGUCUUGGGCAUAGUAAACAGUCAAU